GGUUAAGCGACUAAGCGUACACGGUGGAUGCCCUGGCAGUCAGAGGCGAUGAAGGACGUGCUAAUCUGCGAUAAGCGCCGGUAAGGUGAUAUGAACCGUUAUAACCGGCGAUUUCCGAAUGGGGAAACCCAGUGUGAUUCGUCACACUAUCAUUAACUGAAUCCAUAGGUUAAUGAGGCGAACCGGGGGAACUGAAACAUCUAAGUACCCCGAGGAAAAGAAAUCAACCGAGAUUCCCCCAGUAGCGGCGAGCGAACGGGGAGGAGCCCAGAGCCUGAAUCAGCAUGUGUGUUAGUGGAAGCGUCUGGAAAGGCGCGCGAUACAGGGUGACAGCCCCGUACACAAAAGCGCAUGUGCUGUGAGCUCGAUGAGUAGGGCGGGACACGUGGUAUCCUGUCUGAAUAUGGGGGGACCAUCCUCCAAGGCUAAAUACUCCUGACUGACCGAUAGUGAACCAGUACCGUGAGGGAAAGGCGAAAAGAACCCCGGCGAGGGGAGUGAAAAAGAACCUGAAACCGUGUACGUACAAGCAGUGGGAGCACCCUUCGGGGUGUGACUGCGUACCUUUUGUAUAAUGGGUCAGCGACUUAUAUUCUGUAGCAAGGUUAACCG
rnacentral:rRNA from 1 species